rnacentral:lncRNA from 1 species
CCGUCAUUCCACUUCUCUAGAGACGAGGAAACCAACCAGACUGUUAUUGAAGGAAUGGGAGAACUGCAUCUUGAUAUCAUUGUAGACAGACUAAAGAGGGAGUUCAAGGUUAGUAUUCUGACUAGCUGCAUUUAUGCAGUUGCAUGCGCUGUAUGUUUCUUUAAUUCUAUUCUAUAUAGAAAUUUAUUAUUCGGUCAUUAGCUGUUGUCGAGUCAGAGUUUUGUACCUGUCACAUUACCUUUACUUCUUUUAUGCAAACGAUCUGUGCAGGUUGAAGCAAACGUUGGAGCUCCACAAGUCAACUACCGUGAAAGUAUUUCCAAAGUUGCGGAAAUACAAUAUGUCCACAAAAAGCAAUCUGGUGGAUCUGGGCAGUUUGCAGACAUUAUUGUGCGUUUUGAACCUUUGGAAGCUGGAAGUGGGUAUGAGUUCAAGAGUGAAAUCAAGGGAGGGGCAGUGCCCAAAGAAUAUGUACCAGGGGUGAUGAAAGGAUUGGAAGAAAGCUUACCCAAUGGUGUCCUAGCCGGUUACCCAGUUGUGGACUUCCGGGCUGUGCUGGUUGAUGGCUCAUAUCACGAUGUCGAUUCAAGUG